rnacentral:rRNA from 1 species
GAUGAACGCUGGCGGCGUGCCUAAUACAUGCAAGUCGAGCGAACGGACGAGAAGCUUGCUUCUCUGAUGUUAGCGGCGGACGGGUGAGUAACACGUGGAUAACCUACCUAUAAGACUGGGAUAACUUCGGGAAACCGGAGCUAAUACCGGAUAAUAUUUUGAACCGCAUGGUUCAAAAGUGAAAGACGGUCUUGCUGUCACUUAUAGAUGGAUCCGCGCUGCAUUAGCUAGUUGGUAAGGUAACGGCUUACCAGGGCAACGAUGCAUAGCCGACCUGAGAGGGGGAUCGGCCACCCAGAAACGGAGACAGGGACCAGACACCAACGUGAGGCAGGAAGAGGGAAGGUACCGCAAUGGGUGAGAGCCUGACGGAGCAACGCCGGGUGAGUGAAGAAGGUCUGCGGUCUGGAAAGCUAUGUUAUUAGGGAAGAACAUAUGGGGAAGUAACUGUGCACUUCUGGAGGUAACCUAAGAAUAAAGCCACGCUUAACUACGG